rnacentral:rRNA from 1 species
UACGUAGGGGCCGAGCGUUGUCCGGAGUUAUUGGGCGUAAAGCGCGCGCAGGCGGCCUCGCGCGCCCGACGUGAAAGCCCCCGGCUUAGCCGGGGAGGGUCGUUGGGGACGGCGGGGCUUGAGGGCGGGAGAGGUCGGUGGAAUUCCCGGUGUAGUGGUGAAAUGCGUAGAGAUCGGGAGGAACACCUGUGGCGAAGGCGGCCGACUGGGCCGACCCUGACGCUGAGGCGCGAAGGCGUGGGGAGCGAACGGG